rnacentral:rRNA from 1 species
GACGAACGCUGGCGGUGUGCUUAACACAUGCAAGUGGAGCGACGAACCAGGGCUUGCCCUGGGGCAGAGCCGCGAACGGGUGAGUAACACGUGGGUAACCUACCCCGAUGACUGGGACAACCCGAGGAAACUCGGGCUAAUACCGGAUGUGCUCCUCCCUCACCAGAGGGUUGAGUGAAGGAAGCUUCGGCCUCCGCAUUGGGAGGGGCCCGCGGCCCAUUAGCUUGUUGGUGGGGUAACGGCCUACCAAGGCUGCGAUGGGUAGCUGGUCUGAGAGGACGAUCAGCCACACUGGGACUGAGACACGGCCCAGACUCCUACGGGAGGCAGCAGUGGGGAAUCUUGCGCAAUGCGCGACAGCGUGACGCAGCAACACCGCGUGGGGGAAGAAGGCCUUCGGGUUGUAAACCCCUUUCAGGAGGGACGAAGGCCGGCCGGUGAACAGCCGUGCCGGUUGACGGUACCUCCACAAGAAGCCCCGGCUAACUACGUG